rnacentral:rRNA from 1 species
AAAGCUUCUAGUGAGUCAUCAACUACCCGUACCGCAAACCGACACAGGUAGUCGAGGAGAGAAUCCUCAGGUGAGCGAGUGAACUCUCGUACUAAGGAACUCGGCAAAAUGACCCCGUAACUUCGGGAGAAGGGGUGCUGUGCGCAAGCACAGCCGCAGUGAAAAGGCCCAGGCGACUGUUUAUCAAAAACACAGGUUUCUGCAAAAUCGAAAGAUGACGUAUAGGGGCUGACGCCUGCCCGGUGCUGGAAGGUUAAGUGGAUGAGUUAGCUUCGGCGAAGCCCAGAAAUGAAGCCCCAGUAAACGGCGGCCGUAACUAUAACGGUCCUAAGGUAGCGAAAUUCCUUGUCGGGUAAGUUCCGACCCGCACGAAAGGCGUAACGAUCUGGGCACUGUCUCAACGAGAGACUCGGUGAAAUUAAGAUACCUGUGAAGAAGCAGGUUACCCGCGACAGGACGGAAAGACCCCAUGGAGCUUUACUGUAGCUUGAUAUUGGGUGUUGACACAGCUUGUACAGGAUAGGUAGGAGCCAUAGAAGUCGGAACGCUAGUUUCGGCGGAGGCAUUGGUGGGAUACUACCCUCGCUGUGUGAACACUCUAACCCGCGCCACUUAGCGUGGCGGGAGACAGUGUCAGGUAGGCAGUUUGACUGGGGCGGUCGCCUCCCAAACAGUAACGGAGGCGCCCAAAGGUUCCCUCAGAAUGGUUGGAAAUCAUUCAACGAGUGUAAAGGCAGAAGGGAGCUUGACUGCGAGACAGACAGGUCGAGCAGGGACGAAAGUCGGGCUUAGUGAUCCGGUGGUACCGUAUGGAAGGGCCAUCGCUCAACGGAUAAAAGCUACCCUGGGGAUAACAGGCUUAUCUCCCCCAAGAGUCCACAUCGACGGGGAGGUUUGGCACCUCGAUGUCGGCUCAUCGCAUCCUGGGGCUGUAGUCGGUCCCAAGGGUUGGGCUGUUCGCCCAUUAAA